rnacentral:rRNA from 1 species
AUGACGGGCAGCACCGCCGCCACCACCACGCUGAGCAUGAAGCUCCUCGUCGACACCAAGGGGCGCCGCGUGCUGUUCGCGGAGGCCGGCAAGGACGUGGUGGACUUCCUCUUCUCCCUCCUCGCCCUUCCGAUCGGCACGGUCGUCAAGCUGAUCGGCGCCAAGUCCAUGGUGGGGAGCGCCGGCGACCUCUACCGCAGCGUCGAGAAGCUCGACGGAACCUACGUCCAGCCCGGCGCGGCCAAGGAAGAGAUCCUCCGCCCCGUCAUGGCCCGCUCACCGGCCAACAGCGCCCUCCUCGGCCUGCCGGCCCCGACGCCGCCGCCGGCUCCGUCCAACAGAUUCUUCAAGUGCUCCAUCGCCUCUUACAGCGUUUGCCGCGACUACGUGACGGACGUGAGCGGCACCAAGUGUCCCCGAUGUUCCAAUGCGAUGACGACCCAAAUCCAGUACGCGCCGCCUGCCGGUGCAGCAGAUGGAUUCGUGCGGGGCGUCGUGACGUACACGGUGAUGGACAGCCUCGCGGUGUCGCCCAUGUCAGCCAUCUCCAGCAUCACACUGCUCAACACCUUCGCGGUCACGGAUCUCACCGCGCUCCAGGAGAAGACCGUGCAGAUCGGAUACAAGGAGGGUUUGGAGAUACUCAAGGCCUCGCUGCAGUCCAAGACUGUUCUCACCGACGUCUUCCUUGGCAACAAGUCCCCCAGCCACGAUUGA